CCUACGGGUGGCAGCAGUGAGGAAUAUUGGUCAAUGGGCGAGAGCCUGAACCAGCCAAGUCGCGUGAAGGAUGAAGGCCCUAUGGUUUGUAAACUUCUUUUAUAUGGGAAUAAAGUGAGGCACGUGUUCCUUUUUGUAUGUACCAUAUGAAUAAGCAUCGGCUAACUCCGUGCCAGCAGCCGCGGUAAUACGGUGGCUUCGAGCGUUAUCCGGAUUUAUUGGGUUUAAAGGUUGCGUAGGUGGUUAAUUAAGUCAGCGGUGAAAGUUUGUGGCUCAACCAUAAAAUUGCAGUUGAAACUGGCAGUCUUGAGUAUAGUUGAGGUAGGCGGAAUGCGUGGUGUAGCGGUGAAAUGCAUAGAUAUCACGCAGAACUCCGAUUGCGAAGGCAGCUUACUAAACUAUAACUGACACUGAAGCACGAAAGCGUGGGGAUCAAACAGGAUUAGAUACCCGAGUAGUC
rnacentral:rRNA from 1 species